CUGUACAAGUAUUUAACAAACUGUAUUUUACUUUUUAAUUUGAAGAGAAUGGUGUACUACAUAAUAUUGAGUAUUCUUGCAUGUGUGCAAUGUGGUGUACUGGCGGAAGACGAUAUACAAUGUAAACAGUGUGCUGAUUUAAACAAUAAUACAGCAUCGGGGAAUACAACUAAUCUUUUGGAAACAUGUCCUUCAGCACAACCGACACCGUGUAAUGGUACAGCCUUGGGAUGCGGAGAAUUCAAUGGGAUCGUCCUCUUGAAAAAAGAACGAGUCACUCAGAAUAUUACCGUGAAGUUUCAAUACUGUUCAGUGAGUGGUCUAAUAACCUGCAAUAAUGUUAUCAUAACCAAUGUUGGAAGCGAUAGGUCAGGUUUUUUGGAUGCAUUUUUAGCAAGAGUGACGGAUUUAGUAAGACAUGGUAUUGGAUUGGGAGCAUUUAAAGGAAUUGAUGGCCAAAUCUGCAUACAGGGACCAUCACCAAAUGGACAGAAUGAAAUGUUCCCAAGUGUAGUCAUUCUAGUUAUGGCAUUCUUUUGUCAGAUGUUUAUUGUAUAUGCGCAAAACUUCUACUAAAACAAUUUUAUCAUUUCUCUAUCACACGAGGUAUCCCGAUCCGAAAUCCACGGAUGGAUCCGAAUGUUUGUUGAUUUAUUUGUUAAUGACAAAAGUGUGAGAUGUGAACAUUUUUGGAAUAAGUCAUAUUGUCCAAUCUCUAAUUAAUCGAACCUGGAUAAAUCAAUAAAUGUCUUGCAUUCAUGAUAAAAAAAUAUAAAGGUUAAAAGGAAAGUUGUAAGAUCGACAAUAAUGCAUAAUUUUUCCUAUAUGAAUUAACUGUAGACAAGAGAUAUGUUUUGACUGUGUGUAAUUUUCUUUGAUGACCUUUUUUAGUACCAGUAUAGAAAUAAGGAGAUGUGGUAUGAUUGCCAAUAAGACAACUAUCCACCAAGGUUCAUAUGAAGUGGAUGUAAGCAAUUAUAGGCAACCGUACGGCCUUCAACAAUGAGAAAAACCCAUACCGUGUGGUCGGCUAUAAAAGGUCCCGACAUGAAACAUGAAACCAUUCAAAUGAGAAAACUAACGGCCUAAUUUAUAACAUAAGAGUUUACGAUGUACAAAUAUGACAUGAAUCAACGACAACAACUGAACUACAGGCUCCUGACUUGUGACAGACACAUAAUGUGGCGGGGUUAAACAUGUUUGUGAGCGCUCAACCCUCCCCCUAACCUGGGACAGUGAGGUGACAGUACAACAUAAGAACAAACUAUAAAUAAUCAGUUGAAAAAGGCUGAACUCAUCAGAUGGAUCAUAUAGAAAUACAUCUAACAA